UGGAGGUGGAAGGCCUACGGGUCGUCAACUUCUUUUCUCGGAGAAGAAACAAUGACGGUAUCUGAGGAAUAAGCAUCGGCUAACUCUGUGCCAGCAGCCGCGGUAAGACAGAGGAUGC
rnacentral:ncRNA from 1 species